AGUAAACUAAUUUUUCAAUUUUUACCUUUAAUUUUUGACUCUUUGUCUUAUUAAAAAAAUUUGAUUGAUAUUUUUGUUUUUAUUAGAUGAUAAAUCAUAAAUAGUACUUUACGUGUGACUAAUUUUUUUCUAAUUUCCUGAAAAUUUUUCAAAUAAGACGGAUGGUCAAACGUUGGACACGAAAACC
rnacentral:pre_miRNA from 1 species